UGGGGAAUAUUGGACAAUGGACCAAGAGUCUGAUCCAGCAAUUCUGUGUGCACGAUGAAGUUUUUCGGAAUGUAAAGUGCGNNNNGAAGAAAGAAAUGACGGUACCAACAGAAGAAGUGACGGCUAAAUACGUGCCAGCAGCCGCGGUAAUACGUAUGUCACAAGCGUUAUCCGGAUUUAUUGGGCGUAAAGCGCGUCUAGGUGGUUAUGUAAGUCUGAUGUGAAAAUGCAGGGCUCAACUCUGUAUUGCGUUGGAAACUGUAUAACUAGAGUACUGGAGAGGUAAGCGGAACUACAAGUGUAGAGGUGAAAUUCGUAGAUAUUUGUAGGAAUGCCGAUGGGGAAGCCAGCUUACUGGACAGAUACUGACGCUGAAGCGCGAAAGCGUGGGUAGCAAACAGGAUUAGAUACCCUGGUAGUCCAUGCCGUAAACGAUGAUUACUAGGUGUUGGGGGUCGAACCUCAGCGCCCAAGCAAACGCGAUAAGUAAUCCGCCUGGGGAGUACGUACGCAAGUAUG
rnacentral:rRNA from 1 species